rnacentral:lncRNA from 1 species
AAAGAGGGCAAGAAUGAUUCCUUUCUUUAGGAUUGGAAUUCAAAAGCUAUAAUCCUUUCUUAAGGAUUGGAAUUCAGAAGCUUUCUUUAGCUAAAUUUUGUUCAAAUUAACAGAAGCCUAUUUCGUUCAUUUGGUUGAAAAGAGUACAAGCAGUUUCGUCCAAAAAUUUCAAUGAAAUCCAAAGCCAAAAUUCGUUCAAAUUCCGAAGCAGAAGCUUCAUUCUCUCGUUCCAACACAUUUUGCGGAAGCAGAAGCUUCACUUCAAUAAAAUAAUUCCAGGAACAGGUAUGUUAAGGUCCUCUUUCUUUCCUUUUGCAUGGUCCACAUUAUAUUGAAGAAACGAGCAAAUACAUAGAUUUCAUAAAUUACUCUAUUCAUAGAAUUAUUAGAGGUGUCUAUAUUCUUGAUUCCCCAUGAAAAUUAUUAUUAUUUUUUGUUCAAGGGUCUCAGAAUAAUACGAAGUUUGUAAAGUUUAUCCGGAAUGAAUAUUGAGAUUAUUACAUAUUUUUCAUGUAUUUCACUCAUGUGCAUUGACCCAUGACUAGAUGGCGUUAUAUACGCAUAUAUAUGUAAAUAUAUGUAUAUGGGAUAUGGGAAAAGGUUACGACGUUAUAUACGCAUCACCACCUGAUCAGCUGGUAUAUGUUGAUGAUGUUGCUCAUAAUUGCCGAGAUGAUAUGAUGGAAUACCUUCAGUGGCUUGAUGAUAUUAUGUACACCCAUACCUAUGCAUGGAACGACAUUUAUACGCAUGUGUAUGACAUUAUAAACAUUACAGAAAUAUAAUGUUAUUCAGAUUUAAAGACAUGUUUCUAUAUUUCAUGUUUCAUCUAUGUCUUUUACGUACUAAUUUUCAUGCCUUACAUACUCAGUACAUUUUUCGUACUGACGCCCUAUUUCACGGGGCCUGCGUUCCAUGCCCGCAGGUGCAGGUAGGCAAGCUGACAGUCCCCCUUCUUAGGAUCCCUGAUUAGUGAGAGUUGGCGUGCUCUAUUUGAUCUAGAGCUGCUUUUGAUUUUGGUACGAUACGUUUGUAUAUAUAUGUUUAUGGGUAAGAUGUGGCUUAGUCUCGUCUUGUACAGUUACGUUUCUGUUAGAGGUUUGUGUACAAUAUGUCUAGUUGGAUAGUAUGUGGCUUUGCUGGCUUCCAAUUUUGAGAUGUAUAGUUGUCUAUAGCAGC